rnacentral:rRNA from 1 species
ACAAGAGUUAGGGUACCCCAGGAGUGCAAAACCCCUGAAUGAGAUUUACUAAAGGUUGUGUCUAAAUAAUGGGGGCAACGCGAUUAAACGGCUGCAGUCAACCCCCUAGAAGACACCUUCGCGAAGAAUGUAACCCGGAUGAAAAUCUAGACUGAACGGCGCAAGCGAGAGAUGAUGUGGAACGUUUGGUUAAAAGAAUCAAAACGAACAUUCCACCUUCAUAGCGUACGCCGAGUGUUCCAGAAUGAUUGGGGCAUAUAGCCCAAUGACAUAUGCUCCAUAUGAGUCGUCCCUCAGUGUUUGUAGCUUCUGAGUUAAGUCCACAACGAGCGCAACCCUUGUCAUUAUUUCCAACGAAUGGUCACUGGAAUUAGAAGGCCGAGACGAACCAAAGCGGGGGGGGGAUGAGAUCAAGUCAUCUCAUCCCUUAUGUUAAAGACUUCGUCAUCCCAGUCAAUCGAUCAUACAUAGAGCCGGCAGCCCACGAGCGGGGCCGAAUCAAUCCCAGAAAUCGGAAGUCGUCGGGCUAGUAGUAUUCUAAUCUACUGCAAGUAGUAAUAGAUGGUAAUCGGUGAGAAUGUGGUCUCACGGAUAAGUUCCCCCGGGCGCACCCUUCCGACGUCACCUAACCAAGAGGGUUUUGCCAGAAAUAGAGAUAGAACGGCAACGAGGGGGCUGUUCACGGGGAGAGACUUGAGAGGGGGGAAGUGGUGACAAAAUAAACACAAGCAGAAUUGCGCAGAUAUCCCACACAGGCGGGGCCGCGAGCGCGCAUAUAGAGAGG